rnacentral:lncRNA from 1 species
AUUCCAACAAUUGCUAGUAAAAAAGACUUGUGGUGAAAAUUACCCAGCAAAGUUUAGGUUUAAAAUAUUUCACACAAGGUUCUUUUUGCGAAAUGCAAGAGGAGCUUGAAAAUAAUCGGGUCACCGAUAAAGAAAAAUGAAGGGUGUUUGAAUGAAGCAUGCACGGAGUUCUCCUUGCGAUCAUCACCACUGCGCAUCUUGUGCUUGGUGAAAACAUGCUCCUCGAGGCUGGUCCGUCCUUGGGAAUCGUUCAACCAAUUGGAUCGAACAUGUUUGUACCGACGUCAAGAUCCGCUACUAUUGUGAUCAAACAACCGCCACCUUCAGUUGUGGUUGUCAACGUUCCAGCUGUCGUCCAGCAGCCUACGAUUAUUGUAGUGCAGAGAAGUGAAAAAUAAAAUGGUCAUUGCAAA